UACGUAGGUGGCAAGCGUUGUCCGGAUUUAUUGGGUUUAAAGGGUGCGUAGGCGGUCUUUUAAGUCAGUGCUGAAAUACUCCAGCUUAACUGGAGGGGUGGCAUUGAUACUGGGAGACUUGAGUGUAGUCGAGGUAGGCGGAAUUGACGGUGUAGCGGUGAAAUGCUUAGAUAUCAGGAAGAACACCGAUGGCGAAGGCAGCUCUCUGGGACGGUACUGACGCUGAGACGCGAAAGCGUGGGGAGCGAACAGG
rnacentral:rRNA from 1 species